rnacentral:rRNA from 1 species
AUGAAGGAAGCACACUACAUCGGACCGGCGAAUUUACUGGCUACUGUAUGUACAGCGCAUUACAGGCACAUCCGUAGACCGCGUGGCCCAUGUGCGCCAUCACUCCCCGCCCAGCCCAUUUACGGGUACCACGCGCACGAUGACAUGCGGGCCCGUCGCGUCAGCGGAGUCUCUGUAACUGUGAGCGCAUGCGCGUGCCAUUAA